rnacentral:ncRNA from 1 species
GAACCCGGAGAACUGAAACAUCUUAGUACCCGGAGGAAGAGAAAGAAAAUUUCGAUUCCCUUAGUAGCGGCGAGCGAAACGGGAAGAGCCCAAACC